GGCUUGUUGGUGUAAUGGUAACAUGUUCCAUGUUCCUAUAUGGAGCAUUCGCAUAUCAUUCGACAGAAAGUCCGAAGUUUGAUUCUCCAUCAAGCCA